UACGUAGGGCGCAAGCGUUGUCCGGAAUUAUUGGGCGUAAAGAGCUCGUAGGCGGCCUGUUGCGUCCGCUGUGAAAUCCCGGGGCUCAACCCCGGGCCUGCAGUGGAUACGGGCUGGCUGGAGGCAGGCAGGGGAGAACGGAAUUCCUGGUGUAGCGGUGAAAUGCGCAGAUAUCAGGAGGAACACCGGUGGCGAAGGCGGGUCUCUGGGCCGUAACUGACGCUGAGGAGCGAAAGCGUGGGGAGCGAACAGG
rnacentral:rRNA from 1 species